UACGUAGGGUGCAAGCGUUAAUCGGAAUUACUGGGCAUAAAGCGUGCGCAGGCGGUUGUGUAAGACAGAUGUGAAAUCCCCGGGCUCAACCUGGGAACUGCAUUUGUGACUGCACGGCUGGAGUGCGGCAGAGGGGGAUGGAAUUCCGCGUGUAGCAGUGAAAUGCGUAGAUAUGCGGAGGAACACCGAUGGCGAAGGCAAUCCCCUGGGCCUGCACUGACGCUCAUGCACGAAAGCGUGGGGAGCAAACAGG
rnacentral:rRNA from 1 species